UUCCCGAUAAUUUUAUCAUAAAGUUCAAAGUUGGCUAGAAUACAAUUAUAUAAAUACCAGUUCAACUUAACGAUAUCAUUAGUUUGAGAUAAUAGAUAAGCAAAACUUAUUAAAAAUGUCGAAGCUCAUUAUUUUAAUAUUUUUGGUUGCAUUGUUUGCUUUCGGAGCAAAUGCUUGUCAAGAUGAGGGUCAGCGCUGUACAGGGGCUGCAUGUUGCAGUGGGCUACAAUGCACGAUGAAUUAUUAUGACGAAUUUACAUGUUCCCGCUAACACAAUUCGAUAGGCCGGAAAAUAGUUUCAACUUGAAAUAAAAUUAUUAUUCAAUAUUAUCAAAGUUAUGUUGAGCUGAUACCUUUAAAUGAUCUACUUAUUCAUUCUACUACAACCACUCGGUUUUAUAAAAUAUAAAGAGUAAUUUAAUUAAAAUUUUUGAUUAUU